rnacentral:rRNA from 1 species
UACGUAGGGUGCAAGCGUUGUCCGGAAUUAUUGGGCGUAAAGAGCUCGUAGGCGGUUUGUCGCGUCUGCUGUGAAACCCGAGGCUCAACCUCGGGCCUGCAGUGGGUACGGGCGAGACGUGAGAGUGCGGUAGGGAGAUUGGAAUUCUGGUGUAGCGGUGGAAUGCGCAGAUAUCAGGAGGAACACCAGUGGCGAAGGCAGAUCUCUGGCCGUAACUGACGCUGAGGAGCGAAAGCAUGGGAGCGAACAGG